rnacentral:piRNA from 1 species
AAAAAGGUAGAUAAACCAUUGUACAACA